AUUGAACGCUGGCGGCAGGCCUAACACAUGCAAGUCGAGCGGAGCGGCGGACGGGCGAGUAAUGCCUAGGAAUCAGCCUGGCAGUGGGGGAUAACGUCCGGAAACGGGCGCUAAUACCGCAUACUAUCAGAUGAGCCUCGGCGGGAUUAGCUAGUUGGUGGGGUAAAGGCCUACCAAGGCGACGAUCCGUACCUGGUCUGAGAGGAUGAGCAGUCACACUGGAACUGAGACACGGUCCAGAUUCCUACGGGAGGCAGCAGUGGGGAAUAUUGGAAAAUGGGCGAAAGCCUGAUGCAGCCAUGCCGCGUGUGUGAAGAAGGUCUUCGGAUUGUAAAGCACUUUAAGUUGGGAGGCGUUACCAACAGAAUAAGCACCGGCUAACUUCGUGCCAGCAGCCGCGGUAAUUC
rnacentral:rRNA from 1 species